rnacentral:rRNA from 1 species
AUUGAACGCUGGCGGCAUGCUUUACACAUGCAAGUCGAACGGUAACAGGCCGCAAGGUGCUGACGAGUGGCGAACGGGUGAGUAAUGCAUCGGAACGUGCCCAGUCGUGGGGGAUAACGCAGCGAAAGCUGCGCUAAUACCGCAUACGAUCUCUGGAUGAAAGCGGGGGACCGAAAGGCCUCGCGCGAUUGGAGCGGCCGAUGUCAGAUUAGGUAGUUGGGGGGGUAAAGGCUCACCAAGCCAACGAUCUGUAGCUGGUCUGAGAGGACGACCAGCCACACUGGGACUGAGACACGGCCCAGACUCAUACGGGAGGCAGCAGUGGGGAAUUUUGGACAAUGGGCGCAAGCCUGAUCCAGCAAUGCCGCGUGCAGGAAGAAGGCCUUCGGGUUGUAAACUGCUUUUGUACGGAACGAAACGGUCCUGGUUAAUACCUGGGGCUAAUGACGGUACCGUAAGAAUAAGCACCGGCUAACUACGUGCCAGCCGCCGCAGUAAAAC